rnacentral:ribozyme from 1 species
AAGGAAGACAGACAAAAAACAGUAAAAAAAAAAGGGAAGGAAAGAUGUUUGUGGUAACAAUGAUGGGUUUGGCGUCGCUUGUUGUUUCUUUUUUAUUUCAACACUUCCUUUU